AAUCUUCCGCAAUGGGCGAAAGCCUGAUGGAGCAACGCCGCGUGAGUGAAGAUGGAUNNNGGUUCNUCAAACUCUGUUUUAAGNGACNAACAAGUACAGUAGUAACUGGCUGUAUCUUGUCGAUACCUUAUUAGAAAGCCACGGCUAACUACGUGCCAGCAGCCGCGGUAAUACGUAUGUGGCAAGCGUUGUCCGGAAUUAUUGGGCGUAAAGCGCGCGCAGGCGGUCCUUUAAGUCUGAUGUGAAAGCCCACGGCUCAACCGUGGAGGGUCAUUGGAAACUGGGGGACUUGAGUGCAGAAGAGGAAAGUGGAAUUCCAAGUGUAGCGGUGAAAUGCGUAGAGAUUUGGAGGAACACCAGUGGCGAAGGCGACCUUCUGGUCUGUAACUGACGCUGAGGCGCGAAAGCGUGGGGAGCAAACA
rnacentral:rRNA from 1 species